rnacentral:lncRNA from 1 species
UAGUUUUCAGUUCAACAUGCUCAGUCCCUUCUUUUAUUUGUGCAUUGUUCACUAUUGUGGUUUAAAUACUUGUACACCCCUUUCCCUGAAUCCCUGUUUGAAUGUGAGUGUGUUCUGGAUUAGAGUGGCAUCUCAUUGUCACCCCUAGUUUGGAACUUAGGUUGUUAACAACCUAUGCUCUCCCCCUCCCCUGAUCCCUGUUUGAAUGUGAGUGUGUUCUGGAUUAGAGUGGCAUCUCAUUGUCACCCCUAGUUUGGAACUAAGGUUGUUGACAACCUAUGCUCAAAGUAAUCCCAUUCCUUACCCCCAUAUUAUGUGUUUGAGCUUUGACAAAGGCAUGUUGGUGUCCGAAUCACCAUACAUGCCCUAGUCUGACUUGUUUACAAGUAUGCUCUUGCUUGUUAACCUUUGUAAGUGGUUAGAGGUGUGCCAG